rnacentral:rRNA from 1 species
CUCCGACAUGACGCAUGUCGUGUCGGGAAAGAUUCAUCGGUAUGGGAUGGGGUCGCGUCCUAUCAGCUUGAUGGCGGGGUAACGGCCCACCAUGGCUUCGACGGGUAGCCGGCCUGAGAGGGCGACCGGCCACAUUGGGACUGAGAUACGGCCCAGACUCCUACGGGAGGCAGCAGUGGGGAAUAUUGCACAAUGGGCGCAAGCCUGAUGCAGCGACGCCGCGUGCGGGGUGACGGCCUUCGGGUUGUAAACCGCUUUUGACUGGGAGCAAGCCCUUCGGGGUGAGUGUACCUUUCGAAUAAGCACCGGCUAACUACGUGCCAGCAGCCGCGGUAAUACGUAGGGUGCAAGCGUUAUCCGGAAUUAUUGGGCGUAAAGGGCUCGUAGGCGGUUCGUCGCGUCCGGUGUGAAAGUCCAUCGCUUAACGGUGGAUCCGCGCCGGGUACGGGCGGG